UACGUGAGGUGGCAAGCGUUGUCCGGAUUUACUGGGCGUAAAGAGCGCGCAGGCGGUCGGCCAAGUCGAGUGUGAAAGCCCCCGGCUCAACUGGGGAGGGUCAUUCGAUACUGGUCGACUCGAAGGCAGGAGAGGGAAGCGGAAUUCCCGGUGUAGUGGUGAAAUGCGUAGAUAUCGGGAGGAACACCAGUGGCGAAGGGCGGCUUCCUGGCCUGUUCUUGACGCUGAGGCGG
rnacentral:rRNA from 1 species